UACGUAGGGCGCAAGCGUUGUCCGGAAUUAUUGGGCGUAAAGAGCUCGUAGGCGGCCUGUUGCGUCCGCUGUGAAAUCCCGGGGCUCAACCCCGGGCCUGCAGUGGAUACGGGCUGGCUAGAGGCAGGCAGGGGAGAACGGAAUUCCUGGUGUAGCGGUGAAAUGCGCAGAUAUCAGGAGGAACACCGGUGGCGAAGGCGGUUCUCUGGGCAUUACCUGACGCUGAGGAGCGAAAGUGUGGGGAGCGAACAGG
rnacentral:rRNA from 1 species